rnacentral:rRNA from 1 species
AGUGAACGCUGGCGGUAGGCCUAACACAUGCAAGUCGAACGGCAGCACAGUAAGAGCUUGCUCUUACGGGUGGCGAGUGGCGGACGGGUGAGGAAUACAUCGGAAUCUACUUUUUCGUGGGGGAUAAAGUAGGGAAACUUCCGCUAAUACCGCAUACGACCUACGGGUGAAAGCAGGGGAUCUUCGGACCUUGCGCGAUUGAAUGAGCCGAUGUCGUAUUAGCUAGUUGGCGGGGUAAAGGCCCACCAAGGCGAGGAUCCGUAGCUGGUCUGAGGGGAUGAGCAGCCACACUGGAACUGAGACACGAUACAGACUCCUACGGGAGGCAGCAGUGGGGAAGAGUGGACAAUGGGCGCAAUCCUGAUCCAGCCAUACCGCGUGGGUGAAGAAGGCCUUCGGGUUGUAAAGCCCUUUUGUUGGGAAAGAAAAGCAGCAGGUGAAUACCCCGCUGUUCUGACGGUACCCAAAGAAUAAGCACCGGCUAACUUCGUG